UUUUUUUUCUUGCUAAAAGUUUGGAGUUUGUCAAUGUGGAGCUUUCAUUCAUGUAUUAUGCUUUUUGAGUGCUGGUGACAAAACAGGCAUGUCUUCACAAGCAAUGCUAGCUACUUUGGCUACAAUACUAUGUAUAUUUUGGUUCCUAUGGGAAUUCAAGAAGAUGAUGAGUAGAAAUUACCACUUGCCACCAGGUCCCAGAGGCUUGCCUUUAGUUGGGUACCUCCCAUUCCUUGGCAAGAACCUCCACCAAUCGUUUAAUGAGCUUGCUCGAAUUUAUGGUCCAAUCUAUAAGCUAAAGAUCGGACACAAACAAUGUGUCAUCAUAAGUUCACCAUCUUUGGUAAAAGAGGUGGUAGGCGACCAUGACAUUAUGUUUGCCAAUCGUAACCCAACUGUUGCAGCAUUGGCUUUCUCAUAUGGUGGAAAUGAUAUCGCAUUUGCUCCCUAUGGCCCUGAAUGGCGCAUGUUGCGCAAAAUAUUUGCACGCGAGAUGCUAAGUAACUCGAACCUUGAUGCUUCCUACACCCUCAGGAGAAAUGAGGUAAAGAAGUGUAUUAGAGAUAUGUAUGGCAAGGUUGGAACAGCAAUUAAUGUUGGUGAAAUUGCGUUUUCAAGGUGGCACAAUUGAAGGAGAGGAAGGGACUAAUCUUGGUGCAGAGUUUCGUGCAGCAGCCAUGCAACUGACAGUUAUAUUGGGAAAACCAAAUGUUUCGGAUUUCUUUCCAACCCUUGCAAGGUUUGACAUACAAGGAGUGGAGAGGGAAAUGAAGAAGGUAUCACUUUGGAUUGGGAGGAUCUUUGAACGUGUUAUAGAACUACGGAAAAAGUUGGGCAGCGUAAAACAAGAGGGGCCAAGAGAGUUUCGUGGCAAGGACUUUAUGCAGUUCCUCCUAGAUUUCAGAGAGCAAGGCACUGGAAAAUCAAUCUCCCUGGCACAAAUUAAGGCCAUGCUUAUGGACAUCGUGAUCGGUGGUACUGACACAACAUCAACCAUGGUCGAGUGGGCAAUGACAGAAAUGAUCCUACAUCCAGAAGUUAUGAGAAAAUCCCAGGAAGAAUUAACAACUGUGGUGGGUAUUAACAAUACUGUUGAAGAAUUCCACAUACCCAAAUUGGAAUAUUUGAAUGCAGUGGUAAAGGAAACGCUAAGAUUGCACCCAGCAGCCCCAUUAUUACUGCCUCGUUGCCCAACACAAUCUUGCAAUGUGGGUGGUUACACAAUACCAAAAGGUACAAAGGUCUUUUUGAAUGUCUGGACAAUGCAUAGGGACCCAGAGUUUUGGGAUAAUCCUUAUGAAUUUAGACCUAAGAGGUUUUUGGGUGAUGGGAUCAAAUUGGAUUACCACGGUAAUAGCCAUCACUAUCUUCCGUUUGGGGUCGGAAGGAGAAUUUGCGCAGGGCUUCCCUUAGGUGAGAGAAUGUUGAUGCAUGUGUUGGCUUCAUUGUUGCAUUUGUUCGAGUGGAAAUCACCGAAUGGUAUAGAGCUGGAUUCUUCAGAAAAUUUUGGUGUUGUUUUGGAGAAAUCAACACCUUUAUGUGCUAUUCCAACGCCUAGGUUAUCCAACUUAGAGCUAUAUGCAUAG